UACGUAGGGGGCUAGCGUUGUCCGGAUUUAUUGGGCGUAAAGAGCGUGUAGGCGGCCAGGUAGGUCUGCUGUGAAAACUCGAGGCUCAACCUCGAGACGUCGGCGGAAACCAUCUGGCUAGAGUCCGGAAGAGGAGAAUGGAAUUCCUGGUGUAGCGGUGAAAUGCGCAGAUAUCAGGAGGAACACCGGUGGCGAAGGCGGCUUCCUGGACCGACACUGACGCUGAGGCGCGAAAGCUAGGGGAGCAAACGGG
rnacentral:rRNA from 1 species